rnacentral:rRNA from 1 species
UACAGAGGGGGCAAGCGUUAUUCGGAAUUAUUGGGCGUAAAGGGCGCGUAGGCGGUAUGGCAAGUGGAAGGUGAAAUCCCUCGGCUUAACCGAGGAACUGCCCUCCAAACUGCUUUACUUGAGGCCGGGAGAGGUGAGUGGAAUUCCUGGUGUAGCGGUGAAAUGCGCAGAUAUCAGGAGGAACACCGGUGGCGAAGGCGGUUCUCUGGGCAUUACCUGACGCUGAGGAGCGAAAGUGUGGGGAGCGAACAGG